AGGGAAUCUUCCACAAUGGACGCAAGUCUGAUGGAGCAACGCCGCGUGAGUGAAGAAGGUUUUCGGACCGUAAAGCUCUGUUGUUGGUGAAGAAGGAUAGAGGUAGUAACUGGCCUUUAUUUGACGGUAAUCAACCAGAAAGUCACGGCUAACUACGUGCCAGCAGCCGCGGUAAUACGUAGGUGGCAAGCGUUGUCCGGAUUUAUUGGGCGUAAAGCGAGCGCAGGCGGAAGAAUAAGUCUGAUGUGAAAGCCCUCGGCUUAACCGAGGAAUUGCAUCGGAAACUGUUUUCUUGAGUGCAAAAGAGGAG
rnacentral:rRNA from 1 species